UUCCUGGGGGCAGUGCCAGGAGGAGCCCCCUAUGAAUCAGAUUGGCUGGAGCUUGGGUAGCAGCUGUUACAGCCAGUAAGAGCAAAAGGGGAAGCUUCAGGCAGGGGAGGAGGGGCUGGAGGAAGCUCUCCACUCUGGAGGAUUCCCUGGCUGCUGACAUGGCUAAGUACCUCCUUGAGUACAAAGAUUUUGCAACCAUAACAAGGCUCCAUCAGAAAGGUACCUUGCUCAGGAUCCCCACUGGGACAAACUUCUCAACAACAAAACAACCUAAAAUAUUACUAGAUAGAAUACAACAAAGCUGCUGAGAAUUCACAACUUCCAGCUCACGGCCUGCUGCUUGAACAACGCUGGGACUGUUAAGACAGCAGGGCAGUGUGGAGACCUACGGCAUUCAGUCUUUCAUUUGGGGCUCAUGGGCAGCUCAAUAUUUGGGCACAAUCCACCAGGAAAUUAUCUUGUACAAAUUGCGGUAGAAUGAAUGGGAAAGUUCUUUUGUGCAACAGGAGAACUUUCUGAAGGAUUGUGCUUCUUUGUGGAUAGUCUUUUAACCUAAGAUGAUAAUACAUGCAGAUUAGAGUAUAAAGAAAUAAAAUUAAAAAGACAAAAUGGCUGCAGUCUUUUGCCCUGCUAUAUCUAAUUCUCUCUCUAGCCCAUUGCUUAAGAAUCAUCCUUGAAAUCAAUGAGACUUCUGACUGCCACGUUUUGUUGUUGUUGUUUAGGAAUGUGCAGAAUCCCCUUGAGACAUUUCGCUAGAUUGUGAGCCCUUCAGGACAGGGUGCCAUUUUGUUAUGUUUCUGUGCUAACCAGUUUGAUAAUUUCUUUUGAAAAGUGGUAUAAAAAUGGAAGAAGUU